ACGAACGCUGGCGGCACGCUUAACACAUGCAAGUCGAACGAGAGAAGAGAAGCUCGCUUUUCUGAUCUAGUGGCGGACGGGUGAGUAACACGUGAGCAAUCUGCCUUUCAGAGGGGGAUACCGAUUGGAAACGAUCGUUAAUACCGCAUAAUAUAAUUGAACCGCAUGAUUUGAUUAUCAAAGAUUUAUCGCUGAAAGAUGAGCUCGCGUCUGAUUAGCUAGUUGGUAAGGUAACGGCUUACCAAGGCGACGAUCAGUAGCCGGACUGAGAGGUUGAUCGGCCACAUUGGGACUGAGACACGGCCCAGACUCCUACGGGAGGCAGCAGUGGGGAAUAUUGCACAAUGGAGGAAACUCUGAUGCAGCGAUGCCGCGUGAGGGAAGAAGGUUUUAGGAUUGUAAACCUCUGUCUUCAGGGACGAAAAAAGACGGUACCUGAGGAGGAAGCUCCGGCUAACUACGUGCCAGCAGCCGCGGUAAUACGUAGGGAGCGAGCGUUGUCCGGAAUUACUGGGUGUAAAGGGAGCGUAGGCGGGAUCGCAAGUCAGAUGUGAAAACUAUGGGCUUAACCCAUAAACUGCAUUUGAAACUGUGGUUCUUGAGUGAAGUAGAGGUAAGCGGAAUUCCUAGUGUAGCGGUGAAAUGCGUAGAUAUUAGGAGGAACAUCAGUGGCGAAGGCGGCUUACUGGGCUUUAACUGACGCUGAGGCUCGAAAGCGUGGGGAGCAAACAGGAUUAGAUACCCUGGUAGUCCACGCCGUAAACGAUGAUUACUAGGUGUGGGGGGACUGACCCCUUCCGUGCCGCAGCAAACGCAAUAAGUAAUCCACCUGGGGAGUACGACCGCAAGGUUGAAACUCAAAGGAAUUGACGGGGGCCCGCACAAGCAGUGGAGUAUGUGGAUUAAUUCGAAGCAACGCGAAGAACCUUACCAGGUCUUGACAUCGUAUGCAUAGCUCAGAGAUGAGUGAAAUCUCUUCGGAGACAUAUAGACAGGUGGUGCAUGGUUGUCGUCAGCUCGUGUCGUGAGAUGUUGGGUUAAGUCCCGCAACGAGCGCAACCCUUACUGUUAGUUGCUACGCAAGAGCACUCUAGCAGGACUGCCGUUGACAAAACGGAGGAAGGUGGGGAUGACGUCAAAUCAUCAUGCCCCUUAUGACCUGGGCCUCACACGUACUACAAUGGCUGUCAACAGAGGGAAGCAAAGCCGCGAGGUGGAGCGAACCCCUAAAAGCAGUCUUAGUUCGGAUUGUAGGCUGCAACCCGCCUACAUGAAGUCGGAAUUGCUAGUAAUCGCAGAUCAGCAUGCUGCGGUGAAUACGUUCCCGGGCCUUGUACACACCGCCCGUCACGCCAUGGGAGUCGGUAACACCCGAAGCCUGUAGUCUAACCGCAAGGAGGACGCAGUCGAAGGUGGGAUUGAUGACUGGGGUG
rnacentral:rRNA from 1 species